CCGGUUAUGAAUAAUAAGACCCACUUUACAGUCUGAGUUCUGAGAAACAGGUUAUAGAAUAUAUUCUGAGAAAUGAGCCCG
rnacentral:snoRNA from 1 species